UACGGUCACAUCCCAUUGAAACCCAAGUUCCUGUAUGAACACUGAAGUUAAGCAAUGUUGAGCCUGGUCAGUACUUGAUGGGUGACUGCUUGGGAAUACCAGGUGCUGUAA